AACGAACGCUGGCGGCAUGCCUAACACAUGCAAGUCGAACGAGACCUUCGGGUUUAGUGGCGCACGGGUGCGUAACGCGUGGGAACCUGCCCUUAGGUUCGGAAUAACUCCCCGAAAGGGGUGCUAAUACCGGAUACUGUCUUCGGACCAAAGAUUUAUCGCCUUUGGAUGGGCCCGCGCUGGAUUAGCUAGUUGGUAGGGUAAAAGCCUACCAAGGCGACGAUCCAUAGCUGGUCUGAGAGAAUGAUCAGCCACACUGGGACUGAGACACGGCACAGUCUCCUACGGGAGGCAGCAGUGAGAAAUAUUGGACAACGGGCGAAACCCUGAUCCAGCAAUGCCGCGUGAGUGAUGAAGGCCUUAGGGUUGUAAAGCUCUUUUACCCGGGAGGAUAAUGACAGUACCGGGAGAAUAAGCUCCGGCUAACUCCGUG
rnacentral:rRNA from 1 species